rnacentral:lncRNA from 1 species
AUUUGUUUUCAUGGGAAGUAAAAAAAAAAAAAAAAGAAUGGACCGUUCGACUACCUACUGGCCUAACCCUAGACACUCUAAGAUCCUUUUUCAAACCUGGAGGUAGCUACAGUCGCGAGCAGGUCCUUGCUCGCUCCCUCCAAUAAUUCCCAACUAAAAGGGGAUAUUUUCUGCAUUUUUGUUAUAGCAAUCGCAGCCGCUGAAGCAGCUAUUGGAUCAAUAAAGUAACCGAACUCAAAAGAAAAUUCAUUAGUUAUGGUCCAAGUUAAAUGCUAUUAAUGAGAAUAGUAAUUCAUUAUUCUUAUCUCUUAUAAGUUGUUCAUAAAGCAUGAGAGUAGAUUCAUGACCUAUUCUCU